GACGAACGCUGGCGGCAUGCCUAACACAUGCAAGUCGAACGAGACCUUCGGGUCUAGUUGCGCACGGGUGCGUAACGCGUGGGAACCUGCACUUAGGUUCGGAAUACCUCACCGUGGGGGAUGCUCAUACCGGUUAAUGUAUUCCGACCAAAGAUUUAGCGCCUUUGGGUGGGCCCGCGUUGGAUUAGCUAGUUGGUAGUGUAAAAGCCUACCAAGGCGACGAUCCAUAGCUGGUCUGAGAGGAUGAUCAGCCACACUGGGACUGAGACACGGCCCAGACUCCUACGGGAGGCAGCAGUGGGGAAUAUUGGACAAUGGGCGAAAGCCUGAUCCAGCAAUGCCGCGUGAGUGAUGAAGGCCUUAGGGUUGUAAAGCUCUUUUACCCGGGAUGAUAAUGACAGUACCGGGAGAAUAAGCUCCGGCUAACUCCGUG
rnacentral:rRNA from 1 species